AGCCUUCAGCAAACCAACAGACAAGUAUGUGAAGGUGAUGCCUGCCCGGUGACUCACGUUCAACGGCCGCGGUAUCCUAACCGUGCAAAGGUAGCGCAAUCAGUUGUCCCAUAAAUCGAGACUUGUAUGAAUGGCUAAACGAGGUCUUAACUGUCUCUUACAGGCAAUCGGUGAAAUUGAUCUCCCUGUACAAAAGCAGGGAUAAACCCAUAAGACGAGAAGACCCUGUGGAACUUUAAAACCAACGGCCAACCUUAAAUCACAUACUCACCCACCGGGUUCACUGACACAUAAGCCACUGGUACGUGUUUUUUGGUUGGGGCGACCUUGGAGCAAAACAAAACCUCCAAAAAUUAGACCACAACUCUAGACUGAGAGCGACCCCUCAACGUGCUAACAGCACCCAGACCCAAUACAAUUGAUCAAUGGACCAAGCUACCCCAGGGAUAACAGCGCAAUCUCCUCCGAGAGUCCGUAUCGAAGAGGAGGUUUACGACCUCGAUGUUGGAUCAGGACAUCCUAGUGGUGCAGCCGCUACUAAGGUUCGUUUGUUCAACGAUUAACAGUCCU
rnacentral:rRNA from 1 species